rnacentral:lncRNA from 1 species
GUGAGAGAGUUUCCAGAAGAGAUUAGCAUUUGAAUCAGCAGACUGAGUAAAGAUCACCCUCACCCAUGCAGGUGGCCAUCAUUCUUUGAGGGCCUGAACAGAACAAAAAGGCAGAGGAAGGAAGAAGUUGCUUUCUCUGUUUAAGCUGGGAUGGGCAUCUUCUCCUGUCAUCAGAGGAUGCAGCUUGCCUUGUUCCAUACUUGUGCUGGCCAAAUUCAAGGAUGGCGAAAAGACUUAGAAGUGACAAAUACAUUUGCACAUUCAACUAACAGAACAGAAGGAGGCUAGAAAAAUCAGGUUGUAGAAAGCUUCUGAUCUGGCUGGGUGCCCUGACAUGAAUUGCAGAUUCUCUGUGCUCCUUUCGAG